rnacentral:rRNA from 1 species
GACGAACGCUGGCGGCGUGCUUAACACAUGCAAGUCGAACGGAAAGGCCCUGCUUUUGUGGGGUGCUCGAGUGGCGAACGGGUGAGUAACACGUGAGUAACCUGCCCUUGACUUUGGGAUAACUUCAGGUAACUGGGGCUAAUACCGGAUAGGAGCUCCUGCUGCAUGGUUGGGUUUGGAAAGUUUCGGCGGUUGGGGAUGGACUCGCGGCUUAUCAGCUUGUUGGUGGGGUAGUGGCUUACCAAUGCUUUGACGGGUAGCCGGCCUGGGAGGGUGACCGGCAACAUUGGGACUGAGAGACGGCCCAGACUCGUAAGGGAGGAAGAAGUGGGGAAGAUUGCAAAAAGGGCGGAAGCCUGAUGCAGAAACGCCGCGUGCGGGAUGACGGCCUUCGGGUUGUAAACCGCUUUCGCCUGUGACGAAGCGUGAGUGACGGAAAUGGGUAAAGAAGCACCGGCUAACUACGU